rnacentral:tRNA from 2 species
CGGGAUGUAGCGCAGCUUGGUAGCGCGCCUGCUUUGGGAGCAGGAUGCCGCAGUUGACUCUCGUAAUCUCGU